rnacentral:lncRNA from 1 species
UAUCGAAGAAGUUCUAGAGUCCUCUACUCACUAAACAACAAAUAACUGGCUACUCCUCCAUUUCGCUCCUCCACUCACUGAGAUCCGUAAUUUCAAAAAACUCCUGGAUAUGCAAGUCGUUAUCCUCUAACAACUCGAGCAUGCCUCCACAGCCCUCGAAAGGAAAAUAACAUGCGUCCUUCCAGACGACAGAUAUCUAUCUUUGCCUAC